UAGGGAGUCUUCCACAAUGGGCGAAAGCCUGAUGGAGCAACGCCGCGUGUGUGAUGAAGGCUUUCGGGUCGUAAAGCACUGUUGUAUGGGAAGAACAGCUAGAAUAGGAAAUGAUUUUGGUUUGACGGUACCAUACCAGAAAGGGACGGCUAAAUACGUGCCAG
rnacentral:rRNA from 1 species